rnacentral:tRNA from 1 species
UUAAUUAAAGCCAAAAUAUGAGGCUUACCAUUGUUAAUGGUAGAAUUGAUGUAUUAUUUCAUCUAAUUAAA